rnacentral:rRNA from 1 species
GUAGGUGGCAAGCGUUGUCCGGAAUUAUUGGGCGUAAAGCGCGCGCAGGCGGUUCUUUAAGUCUGAUGUGAAAGCCCACGGCUCAACCGUGGAGGGUCAUUGGAAACUGGAGGACUUGAGUACAGAAGAGGAAAGCGGAAUUCCACGUGUAGCGGUGAAAUGCGUAGAGAUGUGGAGGAACACCAGUGGCGAAGGCGGCUUUCUGGUCUGUAACUGACGCUGAGGCGCGAAAGCGUGGGGAGCAAACAGGAUUAGAUACCCUGGUAGUCCACGCCGUAAACGAUGAGUGCUAAGUGUUAGGGGGUUUCCGCCCCCCUUAGUGCUGCAGCCAACGCAUUAAGCACUCCGCCCUGGGAGUACGACCGCAAGGUUG